UACGUAGGGGGCAAGCGUUGUCCGGAAUCAUUGGGCGUAAAGAGCGUGUAGGCGGCCCGGUAAGUCCGCUGUGAAAGUCCAGGGCUCAACCCUGGGAUGCCGGUGGAUACUGUCGGGCUCGAGUCCGGGAAGAGGAGUGUGGAAUUCCUGGUGUAGCGGUGAAAUGCGUAGAUAUCAGGAGGAACACCUGUGGUGUAGACAGCUUACUGGACCACUUCUGACGCUGAGACACGAAAGCGUGGGUAGCAAACAGG
rnacentral:rRNA from 1 species